rnacentral:rRNA from 1 species
CGGUAACAGCCCGGUAGUUGAAAUGGCUUUCCCUCCAGAGUGGAUCCUGAGUACGGCGGAACACGUGAAAUUCCGUCGGAAUCCGGGAGGACCAUCUCCCAAGGCUAAAUACUCCCUAGUGACCGAUAGUGAACCAGUACCGUGAGGGAAAGGUGAAAAGCACCCCGGAAGGGGAGUGAAACAGUUCCUGAAACCGUGUGCCUACAAGUAGUUAGAGCCCGUUAAUGGGUGAUAGCGUGCCUUUUGUAGAAUGAACCGGCGAGUUACGAUUUGUUGCAAGGUUAAGCGGAAAAAGCGGAGCCGUAGCGAAAGCGAGUCUGAAUAGGGCGCAUAAGUAACAGGUCGUAGACCCGAAACCAGGUGAUCUACCCAUGUCCAGGAUGAAGGUAAGGUAAUACUUACUGGAGGUCCGAACCCACGCACGUUGAAAAGUGCGGGGAUGAGGUGUGGGUAGCGGAGAAAUUCCAAUCGAACUUGGAGAUAGCUGGUUCUCUCCGAAAUAGCUUUAGGGCUAGCCUCGAGGUAAAGAGUCAUGGAGGUAGAGCACUGUUUGGACUAGGGGCCCUUCUCGGGUUACCGAAUUCAGAUAAACUCCGAAUGCCAUGUACUUAUACUCGGGAGUCAGACUGCGAGUGAUAAGAUCCGUAGUCGAAAGGGAAACAGCCCAGACCACCAGUUAAGGUCCCCAAAUAUAUGUUAAGUGGAAAAGGAUGUGGGGUUGCUUAGACAACCAGGAUGUUGGCUUAGAAGCAGCCACCAUUGAAAGAGUGCGUAAUAGCUCACUGGUCGAGUGACCCCGCGCCGAAAAUGUACCGGGGCUAAACAUAUUACCGAAACUGUGGAUGAACCUCUUUAGAGGUUCGUGGUAGGAGAGCGUUCUAAGGGCGGUGAAGUCAGACCGGAAGGACUGGUGGAGCGCUUAGAAGUGAGAAUGCCGGUAUGAGUAGCGAAAGAAGGGUGAGAAUCCCUUCCACCGAAUAUCUAAGGUUUCCUGAGGAAGGCUCGUCCGCUCAGGGUUAGUCGGGACCUAAGCCGAGGCCGAUAGGCGUAGGCGAUGGACAACAGGUAGAGAUUCCUGUACCAGUGCUAAUUGUUUAACCGAUGGGGUGACACAGAAGGAUAGGGAAUCGCACGAAUGGAAAUGUGCGUCCAAGCAGUGAGUGUGAG